rnacentral:lncRNA from 1 species
GCGGUCCAUUGAUGAACAAGAGAGGACAAAAGUUACAAAUGAAUCCCCAAAAAGGUGACAAGUAACUUGGAACUUUAUUUCUUGCAGUUUGAACCUUUAUUCUCUCUCACAAGCUCAAACAACACUGCCUGUUGCAGAACACUCAAGUCUACUCAUCCUCCAACUAAAACCGCACAAACCAUACAUCGUAUUUGAUGUCAUAACAAAGAAAAACUGGACACACACACGUACGUAUAUACAUACACAUGUGUGUAUAUAUCUAUUCCUAGCAAGGCAAGCCAACGAAGCAGUUGAGAGCGCCAGCAUGGCGUGUGAGUCUGCUGACAUGAGUUCCAUCUCUUGGCUUCAUGAUCAGACCCUUCUUGUGUGUCAUCUUGAUCGGAGCACCUGAAGUGUUGAAAGUGGCACCGUUCAUCAGAAGGUCCAUGUCUGAUUGCCACUGCCAGUUUUUCCAGACGUCUGGUGUGGCAUAAUCUCUGUGUGUGAUCUCCUUUGCAGCGUCGUUGUUGGGAGCAAUGAAACGGUUUCCUUGGCUAAGAAUAGUUGGCCCUGCGCUUCCACCAAUGGCGUACAUCAUCCAGUGAGUGUAAUCGUUGUUAAGAACGUGGAAGAAUCCCCAUCUGCACCUUGGCAUCCUCUGGAUCAGUCCUUGCCCGAAAUGGUUGAAUGCCACUGUUAUCUGCAUGAUCUUGUCCUCAGUGUACGAGUCNGUCGCACCAAACAACAUCACAUCGUUGUGUCUGGUCAUGUGGCANUUGGAGAUGGUGAUGGCUGUGGAGCCUUGGAUCACAUCGAUCAGUCCAUCGGCAGCGUUAGAGAGAGAAACAUGAUCGAUCCACACGUUGGAGGCUCCGAAGAGGGAGAUCGCAUCACCAUCACUCCUCGUUCUCAGUCCAACNUGGUUGUAGGAGUCCCUGAUCAUGCCACCCUCCUUAGGCACAAUGUUCUUAAUGCGAAUGCCGUGGAUGAUGACGUUGUUCACGAACUGAACGGUGAGGCCACCACCGUCACUGAUCAGAACGUUGGCACCACGACCGUCGAUGGUCUUGUCGGAGGAAAUGAGAAGCUCCUGCUUCAGAUUGAUGAUCAUGCUGCGUUCGAAGAUGAUCCAAAGUGGACCCUUUUGCGUGACGGCAUAUCGGAGGGUUCCUGGCUUAGGGUUGACCAUGUCCUCAUCGGAGUUAUCGGUGACAACGUAAAUGGGUCCACCGAGCCCUCCCACUGCGCGUCUUCCGAACCCUUUUCCGCAUCUGGCCAAGCGGUACCUGUCUUUAGCCCAGUCUUUGUUGCACCUCCAGCAAUUGUCAAUGGGGUUGGUGCUGUCACAGCGCCCUCCAAUAGGGUUCAUGGCCGCAUUCAGUCCCCUCCUUGUGCUGUUUUUGAUGGCAAGAUGAACAUGGUGAUUGAGCUCACCGGUGACUAAUUCAGGAGUUGGCACAUAGGACUCGAUAGCGAUUUCGCGGGCUUCUUUAGCUUGAGCUUUGAGAAAGUCGUCGUAUUUAGCAAUGCCAGCCUCAAGGCAUGGGAUGGUGAUGGCCAGAGUGACCAACAGGGUGAAGACAACCUUUGCAUCACUUCCUCCCAUGUUUUUUGUUUUCCUCUGUUUUUUUUUUUUUGGUUUUGUGUGGCAAGGUUGUCCAAGGUCUUGGAAGAUCUCAAAGACCUUGGCAAGCCUGUACCAGUUAGAGUAGGGAAGGAGAAUGUUGUUUGGCUUGUGGCAUAUUGGUUCGUGAGUUCAUCCCUUUUAUAGCACCCAACUUCUUCACAAAACAACGGUAACCCUUCUUUGUUGCGUAUUUUUCUAACUUUAGCAACAAAAAAUGUGGCAUGCAAAUAGUUCUGUUAAGUCUCACCUACAAAACUAUGCUAUUUUUAUAUUUUAAAAACAAUAAACUAUUAUUUCUUGUUUUUUUACCCCUUUUAUACUAAUUAAUUUAAUCUAUUCUUAUCAACCAUAUUAAAACAUUAAAAUAUACAUAGAGAACUUAUUUUAUAAGAAGGUAAAAAUAAUUCUUGUUAUUAUUAUUAUUAUUAUUAUUAUUUUAUUUAAUGAUGGUUUUUAGAUUAGAUAAAUAAUAUUAGUGGAAUAAAUUUAAAUAUUAAUUAUUAGUGAUAAAAUUUUAAAGUUACUAUAUGUCCAAUAUCAUUUUUUUUUUCAGUAACAGAUAAAUAGUUUCAGCCAUCCAAAGUAUAUAAAAACAAAAUGAGAAGUAGCAGCUUAAUACACAGACAAAUAAAAAUGAAAUCGACCAUAUAAUUAUAAUUAUCUAUUACAAUUGGGAUACAUAAUUUAUCUUUUUAAUAUAUAUUUGUUUUCUUAUAAUAUUACAAAUAAGUAAUUUUCAGUUUUCUUGAUUUAUAUUUUGUAAUCUAUAUAAUACGAAUUGAUUUAGAUAACAUUUUUAUGUAUUGUUUUUAACCUUUUUUUUAUCAUGCAAAUUCUUAUCUUUUCUAAUCAAUUUUCUUUUCUUUUAUUUUCCAUAACUUCUAAGAAACUGUUUAUAAUGAUAAUUUUUUUUUAUCUUUUUCAUAAUAAUUAAAAUUCGUAAUUACAUUCAUUUCUUUCAUUAUCAAAGUAAUAUAAAUAUAUAAUGUUCAUAAAAUAUAAUCAUGUUUGUAAAAUAAUAUUCAUAAUAAUAAUUAUUAUGUCUAUUGAAUAAUAUCUAUAAUUAGGUUCGUCCAGUGAUGUUCAUAAUUAUAUUGAUAAAUAGGCUAGGCUAAGAUAUGUUUUUUAAUCAAUAAUCUGUAUAUAUUUGUUUUCUAGUUCAAAUACAAAAAAGUUCCAUGCUCUCGAUAAUUGUUUAGUUGUUAUUUUUUAAGUAUUCAUAAAUCACAAGUAUGUGUCUACACUUAACCAAUUAAAGGAUAAAAUAUCACUCCUAAAAAUCAACCUCAAGAAGUGUUCAAACAAUAUAUCUCCUUAUUAAUAAUAAAAUAAAUAACAAUAAGAAUAAUAUCUCAAUAUUCCUUCAAGUUAAAAUAUAUAUCUUGAAUGCCUAACUUGUACAAAAGUAACUGAAAUUGUAUUUUUUCCAAAAGUUUUAUAAAAAUAUACUUUGGUAAGAAAAACACAUAUUAAAGACAAAUGGUGUGAGUUGUUACUUCAUUAUGAACAAAAUGAAAGGAAUGCAAUUUUCUUGCAAUUUAUGCGCCUUGUGUGGUGCAUAUGAAGAAUUUGUUCAUAUUUUCUUUGAAAGUAUGAUAUCUAACUUUGCUUGUAAUCUUUGCUUAAAUGGUUUGGAGUAUUAACAACACAACAUAGCCAAACUUUACAGCAUUUUGAUCAAUUUUAUAUGUUUGAUUUGAAUAUAAAAGGAAAUAAGUUUUGGAAGGCGAUGUGGAUGAUUAGGAUUAAAAGUAUAUGAGAACAUAGGAAUUCCAUUAAAUUUAGAAACAGGCGAAGGAAUGAUGAGGAAAUUUUUGAGAUAGCACGGUUAAAAGCUUGGACAUGGUUGAGAAAUAAAAUAUCAAAGACAAUUAUUUCAUAUUCUAAUUGGUGUCUAUGUCUAAAAACAUGAAUUCAAUCUAUCCUUAAAUAUUUCAAAAGUGGGAUAAAAAUAAGGGUUUCAUCACCUAUGCGAUGUGUUGUUAAGGCUUUUUGGUAUAAUUAUUGCAAAAGGAGGUGGCUAUGUUUUGUUUUGUUGUAGAUGGGUUGAUUGUUUCUUAGUUUUUCAAGAUAUUGGAGAAUAACUAAGAAGCACCACCCAACCAGUGAAAGAACAUCUUGUAAGUGUAACUCGCUCAAUCUUAAUCACACCAUCCUUGUAGUUCCAAUUUAAUAUCAGAUUGUAGAAAAAUACCUUGUCCUAAAUGUUUCUUCAAAUAUCUACCCUUAAGAGUGUCUCUCAAAGCUCUUUAUGAUGAUUUUACAUAAAUUGAGAUAAAAUGUGGUCUAAUCCCAAACAAAUUGAUUAAUCAUCCAAUCAAUCUUCAAUAGGUUUUGGAUCUUAUGAUGUUGCUCCAUUCGAAAAUUCACGGACUUGACACCUAAUAAACAUUUGUCUUUAAUGAUUUCUAAUACAUACUUUCUUUGACAGAUAAACCCUUCGGAUCUAUCUCCAAUUCCAAAAAAAUAUUUUAAGACUGCUAGGUCCUUUAAAAGAAAACAAUAACUUAAAUAUGCUUUAAACAUAUUUAUAGUUGAAAUAUCAUUUUCUACAAUAAUUAAGUCAUUCACGUACCUAACACAUUGAGAUGUAUUUUUCUCUUGUGCAAUAUAAAUACUAAGUAAUUGAAUACCACUAAACAAAGUCAUGCUGCUUCAAUGUCGUAUGUAACUUAGCAAACCAAAAACGAGAAACUUAUUUUAAGAUGUAUAAUGAUUUUUUCAACCUACAAACUGAAGUUAGAGUUUUGAAAACCUAGAGAAACUUUUAUGUAGACCUCUUCAACCAAAUCACUAUGGAAAAAUGAAUUAUGAACAUUGAUUUAUUGAAUUUCCCACCUUUUAAUUUAUAUAAGUACCUAGAAGGUACAUAUAGUCCAGGUCACACACAAUAAUACAUCUCCUAAUUAAUAAUAAAAUAAAUGAAUAUAAUAAUAAUAUUUCAAUAAUUACAUCCAAUUUAAUUAGGUUGUUAAAAUAAUAAUAAAAAUCAACAAACGCUAGAUUUUAUUAAAAUAAAUAUUUUAUAUUUUUAAUGUAUUUCUCUAAUAAGCUUCUCUUAAUAAGGAUGAAUUACGUAUAAAUAAUUAAGUUUUCAAAACUACUUAUUUCAAAAACACAUAUUUUAAUUUUUUUUAAAUUACAUUAACUUUUUGUAAAUAUUACUUUAUUUUAUUGUUUUUUUCACUCUCUUUAUAUAUAUAUAUAUAUAUAUAUAUAUAUAUAUAUAUAUAUAUAUAUAUAUUCAAAAAUACAUAUCCUAAGCAAUAAUAAAAUAAAUAAAUAUAAUAAUAAUAUUUCAAUAAUUACAUCCAAGUUAAUUAGUUCGUUAAAAUAAUAAUAAUUUAUUAAAAUAAAUAAUUUUCUUAAAAUGUGUUUCUCUAAUAAGCUCAUCUUAAUAAGAUGAAUUACGUAUACUUUUAAAUAAUUAAUUUUUCCAAACUACUUAUUUCAAAAACACAUAUUUUUAUUUUAUAAAUUAUGUAAAAUACCAUAAAAUAGUAUUUUAGAAGUGGUGGUAGUCCAAAAAUAGCGAGACUCGGUUAUUUUAAUAUUAAAUGAUUUAUUUAUAAAAAGUUUUGUUAUAAACGAGUUACAUUAUUUUAAACAUAUCAUCUUCUACAAAUCACUUCUCUAGAAUUCUCUACCUUAUGCUCCUUUUUCCUUUUGCCGUUAUGUUCUAAAAUUUAUGGUUUUGAGAGUUGAGGGGAAGAUUUAUCCCUUGAGUUUAUAACUGGCUUACCAUCUUCCCAAGGCUUCACAGUUAUUUUGGUUGUUGUAGACCGCUUUUCUAAAAGAGUUCACUUGGGCCCUUUGCUACAACAAUAUUAUGCUUCUAAGGUGACUCAUUUAUUCCUUGCUAUUAUCUACAAUUGUCAUGGCAUACCACGCAGUAUUGUAUCUGAUCGCGACCUUAUUUUUAUCAAUAAAUUUUGACGCGAAUUAUUUCGCUUAUGUGGUACUCGACUUCGUAUGAACACAUACCCAAAAAGGAACGGACAAACAAAGGUUUUUAACCGGGUCUUGGAGUAAUACCUUCAUUCUUUCAUCCACUCCAAUUCCUCUCAGUGGUCUAAGUAUUUAGCUUUGGCGGAAUGAUCUUAUAACACUUCUACUCACUCUUCCACGGGGUACUCUCCUUUCCAUAUCAUUUACGGCAAGUCAGCUCCAUCCAUUCCCCAUUACUUAUUGGGUUCAUCAGUCGAUACAUUGUUGGCGUCACGCCAAACCCUAUUAGCACAAUUGCAGAGAAAACUACUUAAAGUCCAAGCCACUAUGAAGCAUUAUGUUGAUCUCAAAUGAUGUGAUAUGUCUUAUGAGGUAGGUGAUUUGGUUUAUGUCCGUCUCAGACCAUAUCAGCAACAGUCUCUUUCUGGUUCCACUUAUUACAAACUUUCCAAAAGGUUUAAUGGAACUUACAAAAUCCUUUGCUCGAAUUGAUAGGGUUGCUUAUCAAUUGGAUUUACCACCUGAGUCCAAAAUUCAUCUGAUCUUCCAUUGUUCAUUGCUGAAACGUCAUCAUGGCCUUGUCUCGGACCCCACUCCACUUCCUUUGGAGGCCUUCAACCAAUAAUUCACCCUCUGGCAAUUUUGGAUACUCUCGUAGAUAAUUCAACAGAUUUCCCAACCAAAAUAGUCCUUGUUCAAUGGUUCGAACUAUCAUCCGAUGAUACUGGUUGGGAAGAGUGAGCACAACUUAGUUCUGAUUAUCACCUUGAAGACAAGAUGAUUUUUCCAGAAAUGAUUGUUAGCAAGCAAACUAUAGGCUAUUUGAAUAAUGCAAGGUCCAAAAGGAUUACUACCACAGUAACCCAUUUGAAGGAUUACCUUCCAUAGAAUCUCUCUCUAUCACCAUGUUCUGGAAAUGUCAAGGUCACGUUUUUCAUUGCACCAGAAUAAUUUAGUUAUAGAUUUUGAUAGAUUGUUUUUGGUUUUGUAGAUUUUUUUACCCACCAAAUCAGGAGGACCCUUUAAUUGUAUUCAAUUGUGAUAUGAUUGUUUCUUAUAACGAGUAUAUAUAACCAUUCGUAUAAAUGAAAAAAUGGUUGAAAAUUCAAUUAUCUAUCUCUUUCUCUAGUUUGUAUGGGGAGUUUCCAUAGCCAUGAAUUAAGGAAGAAACCUAACAGUAUUUAUCCCUUACUUUAGAUUUAAUUACCCUUCAAAGUACAACUCAAAUGGCCCACGCUUGUUUAAAAUAUUAAUAAACGCCUGGUGGGUAUCUUCAAGUCAACAUAGAAAUUGUGUUCUCCUUUGGAUUUUGUCUGACUUAUUUAUCUGUGUGUAUGUUUUCAAAUAUAUGAAAAACAAUUUUAAAUCACCGACAUAACUGUAUUUUAUAAGCUUCCAUAGAGGACAGCAUAAAAAAAUCAUGCAAAGAAUCAAUGUAAUGCUACUCAGACUCAACUCUACUCAUCCUCCAACAAAAAGCGCACAAACCAUACAUCUUGUGUGAUGUCUCAGAAAGCAUAACAAAGAAAAACUCAACACACACGUACAUACAUAUACGUAUAUCUAUUCCUAGCAAGGCAAGCCAACAAAGCAGUUGAGAGCGCCAGCAUGGCGUGUGAGUCUGCUGACAUGAGUUCCAUCUCUUGGCUUCAUG